rnacentral:lncRNA from 1 species
AGCUCAUCUCGGCAUUUAAGUUUCCCUCUCUUUCAGCUUUAAACCUUUUCUAAAUCUACAUGUAAACUCAUGCAUGGUGUGAAUGAGGAAUUAAAUCAAAAUAGCAAAGGAAGGAUAAGUGAAAAGCUCACCUGUGUCGGCUUCUUUCUUCGGUAACCUAGCACCUUUGUUCUCAUGCUUCUACUCGAUAGGGGGUAGCGGACCACUCUAUCCAUACUUGCCCCUAAAUUUCAUAGUCGUUUAAUCUUUACGUGCGUGGCAACGGAAGGACCAUAGGAUCAAGCCUCACUAACGGUAAUUUCAUACUUUUUUAUCCUAGUGAAAUCUGGACCGUUGGAUCUCUCUACUCCACAAAUCGGGAUUGUCGGUUCUCUUGGCCAUUCAAUCUUCCUGGCUUUUAGUCUGAACCGUUCAUUUUUGAAUUACCCCUUAAUCAUUCGUUCGACAUCUAAAAUCCUAGCAGUCUGAUAUGCACACCCUCCGGCUUGCGCAACUAACCACACGUGCAGAUUAGCUAGCGUGGUUGUCCAUGUGGUGGGGCGUUAUUGGUCAGUCUCAUCUGCUGAGGUGUAUUACCUUUCUAGAGUUAUGUUAUUCCCCCUUCUGCUUAAUUUUCUUUCAUCUGGGUUUCCUAGCUAAUUAUAGUUUUGCUCCUUUCUAAUAUAACUUUUUUUC